rnacentral:rRNA from 1 species
GACGAACGCUGGCGGCGUGCUUAACACAUGCAAGUCGAACGAUGAAGAAGAGCUUGCUCUUCGGAUUAGUGGCGAACGGGUGAGUAACACGUGACUAACCUGCCCCUUUCUCUGGGAUAACGCUCCGAAAGGAGUGCUAAUACCGGAUACUCACAUCGCGGCACAUGCCUUGAUGUGGAAAGUUUUUCGGAAAGGGAUGGAGUCGCGGCCUAUCAGCUUGUUGGUGAGGUAACGGCUCACCAAGGCGACGACGGGUAGCCGGCCUGAGAGGGCGACCGGCCACACUGGGACUGAGACACGGCCCAGACUCCUACGGGAGGCAGCAGUGGGGAAUAUUGCACAAUGGGCGAGAGCCUGAUGCAGCGACGCCGCGUGAGGGAUGAAGGUCUUCGGAUUGUAAACCUCUUUCAGUAGGGACGAAGCGAAAGUGACGGUACCUAAAGAAGAAGCACCGGCUAACUACGUGCCAGCAGCCGCCGUAAAAC